AGAGAGUCUGAAGGUGAGAUAGAAAAUAAUCUUUAUAAUCUACUUGAAUUGAGAUGGGAUCACUUUAAUGUUCUCCCAUCCUUUGUGUAAUUGUUUAUG
rnacentral:lncRNA from 1 species